GGUAAUGGCCGGGAUAGCUCAGUUGGAGACCAG
rnacentral:tRNA from 1 species